rnacentral:rRNA from 1 species
GAUGAACGCUGGCGGCGUGCUUAACACAUGCAAGUCGAGCGAGUGAGUUCUUCGGAACGAUCUAGCGGCGGACGGGUGAGUAACACGUGGGCAACCUGCCCCAUAGAGGGGAAUAGCCUCCCGAAAGGGAGAUUAAUACCGCAUAAAAUUAUCGAGUGGCAUCACAUGAUAAUCAAAGGAGUAAUCCGCUAUGAGAUGGGCCCGCGGCGCAUUAGCUAGUUGGUGAGGUAACGGCUCACCAAGGCGACGAUGCGUAGCCGACCUGAGAGGGUGAUCGGGCACAUUUGGACUGAGACACGGCCCAGACUCCUACGGGAGGCAGCAGUGGGGAAUAUUGCACAAUGGGGGAAACCCUGAUGCAGCGACGCCGCGUGAGUGAUGAAGGUCUUCGGAUUGUAAAGCUCUGUCUUUGGGGACGAUAAUGACGGUACCCAAGGAGGAAGCCACGGCUAACUACGUGCCAGCAGCCGCCGUAA